rnacentral:rRNA from 1 species
UACGUAGGACCCAAGCGUUAUCCGGAGUGACUGGGCGUAAAGAGUUGCGUAGGCGGCGGACAAAGCGAAUGGUGAAACCUGAAGGCUCAACCUUCAGACUAUUAUUCGAACUCGUCUGCUCGAGAGUAAGAGAGGUACCUGGAAUUUCUUGUGUAGGAGUGAAAUCCGUAGAUAUAAGAAGGAACACCAAUGGCGUAAGCAGGGUACUGGCUUAUUUCUGACGCUAAGGCACGAAAGCGUGGGGAGCGAACCGG